rnacentral:rRNA from 1 species
CGUAGGGUGCAAGCGUUAAUCGGAAUUACUGGGCGUAAAGCGUGCGCAGGCGGUCCGCUAAGACAGAUGUGAAAUCCCCGGGCUUAACCUGGGAACUGCAUUUGUGACUGGCGGGCUAGAGUAUGGCAGAGGGGGGUAGAAUUCCACGUGUAGCAGUAGAAAUGCGUAGAGAUGUGGAGGGAAUAACCGAUAGGCGGAAGGACAGCCCCCUCGGGCCGAAUACUGACGCUCAUGCACGAAAGACGUGGGGAGGCAAACAGGAUU